AUUGAACGCUGGCGGCAGGCCUAACACAUGCAAGUCGAACGAGUGGCGGACGGGUGAGUAAUGUCGGGGAAAAUGCCCGACGGAGGGGGAUAACUACUGGAAACGGUCGCUAAUACCGCCUACCAUCGGAUGUGCCCAGACGGGAUUAGCUAGUAGGUGGGGUAACGGCUCACCUAGGCGACGAUCCCUAGCCUGUCUGAGAGGAUGACCAGCCACACGGGAACUGAGACACGGUCCAGACUCCUACGGGAGGCAGCAGUGGGAACUAUUGCACAAUGGGCGCAAGCCUGAUGCAGCCAUGCCGCGUGGAUGAAGAGGGCCUUCGGGUUGUAAAGUACUUUCAGCGAGAAGGCGUUACUCGCAGAAGAAGCACCGGCUAACUCCGUGCCAGCAGCCGCGGUAAUUC
rnacentral:rRNA from 1 species